rnacentral:rRNA from 1 species
AUACGGAAGGUCCGGGCGUUAUCCGGAUUUAUUGGGUUUAAAGGGAGCGUAGGCCGUGUAUUAAGUGUGUUGUGAAAUGUAGAUGCUCAACAUCUGAACUGCAGCGCAUACUGGUGCACUUGAGUACGCACAACGUAGGCGGAAUUCGUCGUGUAGCGGUGAAAUGCUUAGAUAUGACGAAGAACUCCGAUUGCGAAGGCAGCUUACGGGAGCGCAACUGACGCUGAUGCUCGAAGGUGCGGGUAUCGAACAGGAUUAGAUACCCUGGUAGUCCGCACAGUAAACGAUGGACACCCGCGGUUUGGCCUGUAUGGCUGAGCCGCCAAGCGAAAGCGUUAAGUGUCCCACCUGGGGAGUACGCCGGCAACGGUGAAACUCAAAGGAAUUGGCGGGG